UACGGAGGGGGCUAGCGUUGCUCGGAAUCACUGGGCGUAAAGCGCACGUAGGCGGCUUUCUAAGUCAGGGGUGAAAUCCUGGAGCUCAACUCCAGAACUGCCUUUGAUACUGGAGAGCUUGAGUCCGGGAGAGGUGAGUGGAACUCCGAGUGUAGAGGUGAAAUUCGUAGAUAUUCGGAAGAACACCAGUGGCGAAGGCGGCUCACUGGACCGGUACUGACGCUGAUGUGCGAAAGCGUGGGGAGCAAACAGG
rnacentral:rRNA from 1 species